rnacentral:pre_miRNA from 1 species
UUUAGCGGCCGGCCAGGGUGGGCAGGAAGUUUGGGUCGCCAGGGGUGACCCAAACCUCCUGCCUGCUCUAGCUGGCUCCGUGG